rnacentral:piRNA from 1 species
UGACAUUCAUAAGGUUUCUUGCCAGAAUGU